UAAAGAGAACUGUAUUUCUCUGCCUCAACAAUAGCCAUAAUUGUUGGAUCUGUAUCUUAGGCAAAUAAUAGCCCAGUAUUGGCGUAUGUGGUAGCUACCAGGCAAAGCAUCCGGACUCAUUUCCUUUCACAUCCCAAGAGUGAAUAGACAAGUUGUCCCAGAUAAUACUACCAAUUGGAGGAUAAAGCAACGUAGUGUCUUUUCUGAUGCUAUGAAUUCCUAUCUAGCUGAGGUGGAUACAAUCAGUUAUGGUAUUGCUUGAUAGUGAUACAGAAUAGUAAUAAUGUAAUACCUAGGGCGUGACAUCAAGCUACUAAUAUCAAUAGGGUUGCAGGGCAGGCCCUGAAGUCCAGGUCUCUGAGUUUUCUUCAAUGGAGAAGGAGGAAACAGAGAUGUAGAGCUGAAUAUAUGUGGUACAGGAGUUUCAUCAAUCUGCAAGCUUGUUAGUAGGAUUUAUUCUCCUGCAUUGAUAUCGGAGGUGGAUAAGAAGAAAUGGCAGACUGGCACAGAACGGUGUGUGUACUGCAAAGCAGAGAGUGAGCAGAAUCAUACUAAUAAUUACUUGUAGGCAAAGCAGAAAGGGAAAUGGUCUGGAAUGACUAUGCAAAGGACAUAGAGGGAACAGCAGAGGACCACUUCAUUUCAGUUGCUUUGAUUUUUCACAGCUGAGAGUUUUCACUGUCACUGACUGGAAAAACAUCAUGUGUACACAUAUAUUUUGGGGGCUACCUUACCUCUGAGGUGUCUACCUCACUGUGCAGCUCUCGGGCACAUGAAUGAAUGCAAGUGUGGAUCAUGAAAGAGGAAGAAAAAAUGGAUGAGAGUGGAUUAAGUUUUCAAGGAAGACAAGGAUUGCCUUUUUUCGGAAAUGCCUGAGUGUCCUAAUAAGAGAGAGGAUCCAGACAGGAAAACUCUGAGAGAGCUUCAGCUGCUAAGAGUCAAUGAAGCUCCAUUUGGAAAGGCAGAGUAUCUUCACCUAAAAGGUGUUUGGGGGAAGGCACAGCCAUGGCCAAUCCAAUCCAAUUAAACCAUGCCUGCGGUAUGCAGAUGAACAGCAAAAGUGUAAAUCAGAACAUUAAUACUACGCUGCUUUCUCCAAGACACUGACAACCUGAUUCUGAGAGGUGCUGAGUGCACUAUGAGGAAGCAAGGAGAUGUGCUGCAUAAAAAGCACAUAGCAUGAGAGAGGAGCUGCAAAACUAAAAUAUCUUGGAGAAUUAACAUGGCUCUCACAUCAUGUGUGGAGGGUAAUACCAGAAAUUUCUAUCCCAGAAGGAGUUGUGACAUGUCAAAAUUUCUUGUCAGCCUGAAUAAGAACAAAGAAUUGAAAUUUUUGAGUUUUUCAAGAAAUUAAGUUUCCAAGAAGACCCUACUUCUAUUCUAAGUAUGAAAAUGAGUUUACAGCAGUGCUUUAUUCUUAGCCUUCCUAUUUUGUUACAUAAUGUAUCAAGAUAGCACUGAAAUGAAGUUACUUACCUUGGUGAAAUUAAAUGUUUCCAUAACUUUGUAUAAAUAAUUUCAAAGAAAUCAAUACAUUCUGCUGGAAUACUUUGACUUGAUUGAAUCAUGAUUUUUCAGUGAAAUUUUUUUUACUAGAAAAAUAAAAGAUCACUG
rnacentral:lncRNA from 1 species